GGAUGCGGAGUUCAUUACGGAAUGCAAUUUCCCAUUUGUUGCUAGUUCCAGUGGUGGAGCAAACCGAACUUGAUGAAAUAAUAAACACGUCCCAUGAAUCUGAAGAACAGGACAGCGAUGAGAACCCCGUAUCCAGGGCAACCAAGAGUUCAGACUUCUCAGUCCAUAAAUAAUCAUUCCCCAGCUUGCCCUCUGUACUCCUGGUCUCUGAGCCACUUUCUGACAAAAUGGGCUCCAUCCGGAGGCUGCCACUCUUUCUCUAACUGGGGCUUAAACGACUGCUGGGGAAUAUUCUAUAAAAAAAGGCACCGUUUCACUUCUGUCUGCAACUGACUCUUGUAAUUUUUACUCUGGUGAGAGGAUGCUCUGUGGCCAAAGUCAUGGGGACAUAGAUACCAUUUAGCACCAAGCUGCCUAGAAAGUUCUGGGUAUCAAUGGCUGCGUCUAAUGAAACCAGAUUUAGCAAGAGGAAGCUGGAGACAGGGGAGAUGGAGACAAAGGUCCCAAAGUGAGCACUGGUGGUAACUGUUCGCCUUUGAACCUCCUUAGAGACUUCUGGAUUCACUGUCCAUGAUGACUUGCAUGUUCUCUCAAGAGCACAGGAACCUCAUCUUCCAUUGGAUGCCUGUAGCACCCAUUUGACAAGCAACUCACAUACCAAGAGUCAGGAAGACAGCCAGGCCACUUCUCAGGAGCCGCAGUGUUCUCACAGGAAGUGGAGCUGCUAAUGGCAGGUGGAAGGACUCAUGUAACUAACACAUUGGACUACACGCCAAGAGGCUGCCCAGAUACACGAUGUCUACAAAACUGUUGGGGGGGCCUGGAACAACUGGCAGAUAGCAAACAAUUAUCUAUUAAAUAUGCAAAACCUAUCUUCUGUCUACUACAUUUGAACUUACCAUUAUGUAGGUUUAAAACGUAUCUUAAACAUUUUAAGGAUUUAUUGAUAUUUAUUUAA